rnacentral:rRNA from 1 species
UACGUAGAAGACUAGUGUUAUUCAUCUUUAUUAGGUUUAAAGGGUACCUAGACGGCAUUACUAGCCUAAUGUAGGGUACGGUAUUGCUAGAGUUUUUAUAGGAGAGGGGGGAGUAUUUUAUGGAGUAAAAGAUGAAAUUUUUUUGAUAUCAUAACGACUGAUAACAGCGAAAGCAACCUUCUAUCUAAUAACUGACGUUGAGGGACGAAGGCUUGGGUAGCGAACAGG